rnacentral:rRNA from 1 species
UGCAGGAAGAAGGCCUUCGGGUUGUAAACUGCUUUUGUACGGAACGAAACGGUCCUGGUUAAUACCCGGGGCUAAUGACGGUACCGUAAGAAUAAGCACCGGCUAACUACGUGCCAGCAGCCGCGGUAAUACGUAGGGUGCAAGCGUUAAUCGGAAUUACUGGGCGUAAAGCGUGCGCAGGCGGUUUUGUAAGACAGGCGUGAAAUCCCCGGGCUCAACCUGGGAAUUGCGCUUGUGACUGCAAAGCUGGAGUGCGGCAGAGGGGGAUGGAAUUCCGCGUGUAGCAGUGAAAUGCGUAGAUAUGCGGAGGAACACCGAUGGCGAAGGCAAUCCCCUGGGCCUGCACUGACGCUCAUGCACGAAAGCGUGGGGAGCAAACAGGAUUAGAUACCCUGGUAGUCCACGCCCUAAACGA